UACGUAGGGGGCAAGCGUUGUCCGGAUUUAUUGGGCGUAAAGAGCGUGUAGGCGGCCAGGUAGGUCCGUUGUGAAAACUGGAGGCUUAACCUCCAGCUGUCGAUGGAAACCAUCUGGCUAGAGUCCGGAAGAGGAGAGUGGAAUUCCUGGUGUAGCGGUGAAAUGCGCAGAUAUCAGGAAGAACACCCGUGGCGAAGGCGGCUCUCUGGGACGGUACUGACGCUGAGGCGCGAAAGCGUGGGGAGCAAACAGG
rnacentral:rRNA from 1 species